UUAGCUGAAACCAAAAUAGAGGUAUAUUACUGUUAAUAAUACUAUUGAAUAAACUUAUUCCAGUUAAG
rnacentral:tRNA from 1 species